GCCUUACCAAAUGACCACUUCUUUGGAAUUGUCACAUGACACGACCCCUUCACCCCAAACUCAGGGAAGGGAAGCAACAAAUGGGAGUAGCGGGUUUGCCCGGGCAUUGCAAGAACCGGCUUCUAGUCGGAGUCGGGGUGAUCCUGGGCAAAUCUCUACUGGCCCGACUGAGGGAUUUUGCCUCUGCACACAGGUUGGACCUUGUAGCGGGUAAGCGCCCGCCCGGCCCUGCAGCAUCCGAGCUGGGCCGUCCAGGUGUUGGGCCGCUUCUGGAGCAGCGACGGUGCUCUCUGCAUGCUUGUCGUGGAGAUGAAUGUGUUAUUAUAUUUCAUCUCGAAGUUUAUCUCAGUAGAGAUUUUCUCCCACCUCAUUUGGGUCUCAAUUUCCGGAAGAAAAAGGGAAGCAAACUGAAUGCACGGAGGGAGGCAAGGAGGGAUGGAACGAACGAGGGAGGGACGGAGGGGGGGGGCCUUAGUUUCCUUAUCCAUUAAACUGGAAUAAUGACGGUACUUUCCUCCCAGGGACUAGGCGGGGGAAGGGGCUAAAUGAGUUCAUGUGUUUAGGAUCCUUAGGGAAACGUCUAGCACACAUCACGUCCUCACUGUCAUUAUUGGCGAGGCCCAGACUAGAACCCGGGUCUUCCAACACCUGGCUUGGCGAUGUUUCUGCUGCCCAACGCCAAUCCUAUCCUUACUCCACGGACGAGAACCUAAAGCCUGCAACGCCUAGGUGCGAAGCUCACCCCCAGAGCCCCUCUUGGACACAGAGGUCUAGAACCGACGUCUUCGGACCCCAUUUAGUCCUUCCACCAGUAAGCCGUGCUGCCCUCCGCUGCUCUCAAGGCUUCGCACGUCAUAAAGCAAGCAUUCUGGUGCCCCACGGCCGUCUCCCAGCCUCCUGGGCGGACUCCUCCACCCCCGCAGGAAGAGAGCAAAGGCUCCGAGACGGCUCCUCGCAACGGGGCCCGCGCACUGCUCCCCGCAGGGCUGUCCGUAUCCUGUCUGUCCCCUGGGAUAGUCUCCCCUCGUCUCCUUCCAACCCCAAUUAUCAUCAGGGCCAGACGAUUCAGUAUUUGACCAUUUUCGGCUCCCUGCGUGCAAGCCUGGAUUUUUGCUCUCAGUACGACUCCUUGAGAGCCCCGACGGUUGCACGCAGGACGGACUGGCACGCGGCUUGUCCCAAAACAAAGUGAGCCUUUCAAGGAAGUGCACUGCAAGUUGGACGCACGUUCCCAGGACACGGACACUCUUGCACGGCUGACACCGGAGCCGAGGCUGAGCCCGGGCCAGGGCCCUGGGGACCGUCAGUAACAGGAGCGAGUGGAGAGGAGACUCGGAGCCGGGUAUGCUCCUGGGCGCCUCGCACCGGGGAGCUGCACAUGCCCGGGCGGGCUGGAAAGGGCCCUCUGUGCUCCAGCUCGAUUUUCUGGAAAGGCCUUCUGGGCGGUCCAGCCGGGGAGCAGGGGUGUGGGUCCGAGCAGCCUGGCCUCCCCUUCCCUGCAGGCCUGCUGGCCGCCCAGCCCCGCCUCCCUCCUGCACGAGUGCCUCCAGGCCACCUGCUGCCCCCCACGGCGGGAGGUGCCCGCGGAGGAGCUCUGCGGACGCUGGGGACCCGCGUGCCCCCUGCAGGCCUCCGCCCGCCCGCCUGCACCCUGGGUCGCUGCAAGGCCUCGCAGGUGCGCGGCUCCCCGCCGGGUCGGUCCUCUGCGCGCGGCCCCCGAACGCCCGCGAGGGGGCGCCCCAGACCUCCCGCGUCGCUGGGCACCCGGGGCCCUGCGGCCAGCAGGUGGCGAUGUUGGCUCGCCCAUCGAGGAGGAGCGGCAGGUGGCCGGCAGGUGGCCGGCAGGUGUCCCCAGGGCGGGGCGACGCGGCCGCGGCCCUCCCCGCUCCCCCACCCCGGGUUAGGGCCGGCGCCCGGAUCCCGGAUCCCGCGCAGCCGGGGUCCCCCAGCUGCUAGGACCUCGGCGCUGCUUCUUUUGCUCCCGCAGCUCCCUUGACCUGUCAUGCACUCAGCCAACUUGGCUUAGGAUGCGGGCUGCCAGGCGGGCUGGGGAUGCAAGACCCCGCAGGGUGGCUCAGGGGUGAUCCUGGGGUCCCGGGAUCGAGUCCCGCAUCGGGCUCCCUGCAUGGAGCCUGCUCCUCCCUCUGCCUGGGUCUCUGCCUCUCUCCCUCUCUCUCUCUCUGUGUCCCUCAUGAGUAAAUAAAUAAAAAUAAAAUAAAGUCUUGGGAUCCCUG
rnacentral:lncRNA from 12 species